CCUGAUCCUAGAGGCAUUGUAGUUGUGGCUGCUGUGUCACAUGGACAUUUGUAGAUGUUAGAGGAGAGAGAUUAUGUCCAUGCUCACUGUACCGACCUAUGAACAUCUGAAUAUUAGUAGCCUAACAUU